ACUGUCUCGUUGGUGACCAGCGGAGGGACAUUACCAGAGUGCCCUAGGCUCUCCAACCCAUUGUGAACUUACCAAACGUUCCCUCGGCGGGCUCAGCGCGCGGUGGCCUCCGGGCCUCCGGGCGUCCGCCGGGGAAAACCAAACCCUGAUUUAAUCGUAUUUCUCUGAGGGGCGAAAGCCCGAAAACAAAAUGAAUCAAAACUUUCAACAACGGAUCUCUUGGCUCUGGCAUCGAUGAAGAACGCAGCGAAAUGCGAUAAGUAAUGUGAAUUGCAGAAUUCAGUGAAUCAUCGAAUCUUUGAACGCACAUUGCGCCCGCCGGCACUCCGGCGGGCAUGCCUGUCCGAGCGUCAUUUCAACCCUCAGGCCCACCCUUCCGGGGGAGCGGGCCUGGUUCUGGGGAUCGGCGGCCCUCGCGGCCCCCGUCCCUCAAAUUCAGUGGCGGUCGCGCCGCAGCCUCCCCUGCGUAGUAGCACAACCUCGCACCGGAGAGCGGAACGACCACGCCGUAAAACACCCAAUUUUUUAAGGUUGACCUCGGAUCAGGUAGGAAUACCCGCUGAACUUAACAAUAUCU
rnacentral:rRNA from 1 species